rnacentral:lncRNA from 1 species
AGAAAACGCGUGAUAUUUGCUUAAAUGUGGGAUUCUCAGAGAUAAAACACGUGAUAUCCGAUUAAAAGUGGGAUUUCCGAAAAGAAAACUCGUGAUUUUUGCUUAAAUGGGGGAUUUCCGAAGACAAAACGCAUGAUUUUUGCUUAAAUGGGGGAUUUCUGAUGAGAAAACGCGUGAUAUUUGCUUAAAUGGGGGAUUUCUGAAGAGAAAACGCGUGAUUUUCGCUAAAAUGGGGGAUUUCCGAGAAGAAAACACGUGAUUUUUGCUUAAAUGGCAGAUUUCUGAAGAGAAAACGCAUGAUUUUCACUUAAAUGGGGGAUUUCCGAAGAGAA